CUAGUCUUACCAUUUCGAGGUCACCAUUCUCUAGGAGUAUCGUGCAGCUAGCCUUACCAUUUCGAGGUCACCAUUCUCUAGGAGUAUUAUGUUUCUAGCCUUACCAUUUCGAGGUCACCAUUCUCUAGGAGUAUCGUGCAGCUAGUCUUACCAUUUCGAAGUCACCAUUCUCUAGGAGUAUCGUGCAGCUAGCCUUACC